rnacentral:rRNA from 1 species
AACGAACGCUGGCGGCAUGCCUAACACAUGCAAGUCGAACGAAACCUUCGGGUCUAGUGGCGCACGGGUGCGUAACGCGUGGGAACCUGCCCUUAGGUUCGGAAUAACUCCCCGAAAGGGGUGCUAAUACCGGAUAAUGUCUUCGGACCAAAGAUUUAUCGCCUUUGGAUGGGCCCGCGUUGGAUUCGCUAGUUGGUAGGGUAAAAGCCUACCAAGGCGACGAUCCAUAGCUGGUCUGAGAGGAUGAUCAGCCACACUGGGACUGAGACACGGCCCAGAAUCCUACGGGAGGCAGCAGUGGGGAAUAUUGGACAAUGGGCGGAAGCCUGAUCCAGCAAUGCCGCGUGAGUGAUGAAGGCCUUAGGGUUGUAAAGCUCUUUUACCCGGGAUGAUAAUGACAGUACCGGGAGAAUAAGCACCGGCUAACUCCGUG